CUUUUCAGCUCAGGCCAUAUACCAGUGUCAAGUAUUCCAAUUAUUACCUGGCUUAGUUGAUCAGAAGCAGUGUAUCUGCUUCUUGGAGAGUUAGCCGUGUCGAAAAGCCGUGUGCUACAUUCUUGUAAGUGUAGAGCAUCUCAGCAGAAGCAGAUACUGAUUUUAGUGAUGAAUCAUACCAAUUGAGGUGAUCAUUGAAAGUUGAUGGCAUAGUGGACUUGUCCAUGUGAAUUAUGUAUGUUUUUUUGGCCUGCUGUGUUUUCUUUUCUGCUAUGGUGUAUCUGGCACAGAAAACCAACAGCAAAACAAUUUGAAGAAACUUGAAAAUCAGCAUUUUCAUCCUUUUUAUUGUGAAUACUUUCCCAAAUUUGUUUGUGCUUCAAGAAAUGCAGGGAUAUAAGAUGUAUGUGCAAAUAUUCUUUUACUGCUAUGAUAGUAAUGGGAAUGGGACAUAUAAUAGCGUUGUCCUCUAAACAACAAAUAAAUGUAUUCCAUAUAAAAAGUAAUUAAGAAAAGUUUUACUAAAGUGGAGUAAUAAUCUUUUAUGAGUGCUUAGAGCAUCAUCAACAAAUAGGAACUUUUUAGACCCCCUUUAAAAAAGAACUAGUUAAGUCUAGUUUAUUUCUUUGUGGUACUACCUUGUUCUUUCUUGAGGC